CUCACUAGAAACAUCCUUCUUCAUUCUUCAGCAACAGGUUUGCUUAUCAUGAAUUGUUGAUCUGCUGCUGUAACUUUGUUAUGUUUUUUAUUUUGUAGUUUGAUUUAUUGUUGUGCCUGUGAUGGUUAUUAAAUAUACUUUGAGCAUUUACGCCCUGAAAACAACCUAAUCUGAGGCACUACAUAUGUCAAAAAAACAUCAUUCGAUGAUUUUAGUUGUGUGUACUAGAGAUGAGCAAAUGGUAUCCGGUAUUUGAUACCGGUACCGAAUUUACCAAACCGGUACAUUUUCGGCACCGUCUUUUGAGAUUUUCGGUACUGGUACUUUCGGUACCGGUUUGGUAAUGGUCGGUACCAAGCUUAUCCCUAGUACAUCUGUUGCAAGUGAUGAUAAAAAGACAGGGACAUCAGAUGUUCAAUGUCUUUGGAUUAAUGAUUGACCAAGUCUAUAAUGGGAAUCUCUCUGAUGCAAUUUUUUACUGUUUUUUAUUAUAUUUUAGUUUUGCUAAGUGUUGCCUAUGAUGGUUUAUAAAUGGGUGUACCUAUUCUAUUGGCACACUAAUGUGUCUAUAUGCACACUAAAAAUUGUUUUUUGUUUUAUAUGCAUACUGUUUUGGCGAGCUUUGGCCAAAGCGCGUUUUUGUAUGGUUGAUCGGACCAAAACGCCGCGCUUUGUCCACAGCUCGACAUUGUACGGUGUGCAUAUAGGACAAAAAACACUUUUUUGGGUCGUUAUCGGUGUGCAGAUAGUUUGAGCCUUUAUAAACAUACUGAGUUUUUUUACAGUGCACACAAUUUAAUCUGAGGCAUAUUUUUUGUUUUCUUCUAUUAAUAUACUUUUUUAAAUAUUGAUUUUAUUAAGUUUUUUUUUUUGUGUUUUUUGUUACUAACAAUUAGCAAGUGAUGAUAGACCAGACAGGGACAUCUGUAUUCUUUUUGAACAUGAUGAUUUGUCUGUGGGAAUCUCUCUGAUGCUUAGAUUUCUAUGAAUAUUAUUAUUUAUUAUUAUUUUUGUUGUGUUUAUAACUUUUUUUUGGUAGAGAGUUUGCCAAUGAUGCAUUAUAUUUGCACGUAUUAUCAGAAAAAAAUAGUUGAUGAUAAACAAAUAUUGUCACUACCUCUGAGGCAAACAACUAUUAAGUAUGUCAACAUUUUGUGUUUUUUUAAUUGUCUUAAAGUUUUUAAUUAUUUAAUGAAUUUUUAUGUGUUGAUUUAUUUUUGUGGGUGUUUUUUAAUGGCCUGAUGAUUGAUUCAGAAGAACGGAGAUUUGAAUGAUAGGCUUUGUUGAAGCUAAACAAUUUUAUAUUGUUGUGCUCCAAAGUUAUCUACAUGUAAAAAAGGCUCUACUUUGAAAAUGAAGGCUUUUGUGUUUAAAUAUUUUUAUUAUCUGUAUUUUAGCUUUUUUUAUAAUCUGUAGUUGGAUAUUAUUGUUUUUUUUCAGCUGGUGGAGCAAUACAAGAAAGUUAAUUUGGAGCAAUAAUGGAUGGUUUAUUGAAGAAAGUUGGAGUAAUGCUUGAUUAUUUUAGAUUUUAUUCAGAGAAUUGUAGCACAAGAACACAAAUUCUCAUUUAUAUGCUAUUCAUAUUUAUUUGCUGUUUUAACGUUUUACUAAAUGUUUGAACUUGUGUUUGAUGAACCAAAUGAUCAUACAUGGUAUGUAUUGCACGGACCUUCCAUCCGUCGGAGUAUUGCAACUCCGCAAGCUAACAACGUCCCAAUGUUGCCUGGCGGUGAGUACCCACGGUGAAGAGCCCCAACACCCCAAUAGGGCAUUGCCGGGAGUCGAACCGGUGACCUCAAGAAGAGGCCUGGGUGGGACUGGCCAACUGGGCUACCCCAGAAGGAUGUAGGGUAUUUGUCUGAUCCUCGCACUGGGCGAUCUCAAACUGGAUAUUUAUUUACAAGUGGAGGUACUGCAAUUUCAUGGCGUUCGGUAAAGCAAACAAUCACAACCACAUCAUCUAAUCAUGCAGAAAUAUUGGCAAUACAUGAAGCUAGUCAAGAAUGCAUUUGGUUAAGGACUGUAAUACAACACAUUCGUGGAUCCUGUGGUAUUUCUUCGGGAGAUGAGGGACCGACAAUCUUACAUGAAGACAACGCAACAUGCAUUGCUCAACUAAAGGAAGGAUACAUCAAAGGUGAUAGAACAAAACACAUUUUCCCAAAGUUUCUUUUUACACAUGAUCUACAAAAGAAUGGAGAUAUUAUUGUCCAACAAAUUCGUUCAAGUGAAAAUUUAACAGACUUGUUCACUAAAUCGUUGCCGACCUCAACAUUCAAGAAGUUAGUUCAUGGGAUCGGGAUGCGUCGACUCAAGGUGCUUAAGUGAUCAUCAUCAGGAGGAGAUAAUACGCACUGCACUCUUUUUCCCUUAGUCAAGAUGUUGUCUCAUUGGGUUUUCCUGACAAUAUUUUUAAUGAGACAACAUUAAGCGUAUGGAAUUGAUAAUCAAAGGGGAGUGUUAUAAAUAA